ensembl:misc_RNA 7SK 7SK RNA
GGGCAAUCUGACUGUGACAUCUGUCACCCUGUUAGGCUUCAGGAUUGAUUUGGCUAGCUUGAAAGUCUGUUCUCAUCACUUCAUGUACACCUUUCCUGAAGUUUUGCCCUUAGCUAAAGAGGAUGACCUAUUUAGAUAAUAGAAGAUCAUUCUUUAUUCAAGAUAUCUGAAUUCUAAUCUUAUCCACCAGGGU